AUUGAACGCUGGCGGCAGGCCUAACACAUGCAAGUCGAAUGGUAACAGGAAACAGCUUGCUGUUUCGCUGACGAGUGGCGGACGGGUGAGUAAUGUCUGGGAAACUGCCUGAUGGAGGGGGAUAACUACUGGAAACGGUAGCUAAUACCGCAUAACGUCGCAAGACCAAAGAGGGGGACCUUCGGGCCUCUUGCCAUCAGAUGUGCCCAGAUGGGAUUAGCUAGUAGGUGGGGUAACGGCUCACCUAGGCGACGAUCCCUAGCUGGUCUGAGAGGAUGACCAGCCACACUGGAACUGAGACACGGUCCAGACUCCUACGGGAGGCAGCAGUGGGGAAUAUUGCACAAUGGGCGCAAGCCUGAUGCAGCCAUGCCGCGUGUAUGAAGAAGGCCUUCGGGUUGUAAAGUACUUUCAGCGGGGAGGAAGGGAGUAAAGUUAAUACCUUUGCUCAUUGACGUUACCCGCAGAAGAAGCACCGGCUAACUACGUG
rnacentral:rRNA from 1 species